AUUGAACGCUGGCGGCAGGCCUAACACAUGCAAGUCGAACGGUAACAGGAAACAGCUUGCUGUUUCGCUGAGGAGUGGCGGAUGGGUGAGUAAUGUCUGGGAGACUGUAUGCUGUAGGGGGAUAACUACUGGAAACGGUAGCUAAUACAGCAUAACGUCGCUAGCCCAGAGAGGGGGACAUUUGGGCAUCUUGCCCUCAGGUGUGCCCGGAUGGGAGUAGCUAGUAUGGGGGGUAACGGCUCACAUAGGUGACGAGACCUAGGUGGGCUGAGAGGAUGAGCAGCCACACUGGAACUUGAACACGGUCCAGGCUCCUACGGGAGGCAGCAGUGGGGAAUAUUGGACAAUGGGCGCGAGCCUGAUGCAGCCAUCCCGCGUGUGUGAAAAAGGCCUUCGGGUUGUAAAGUACUUUUUGCGGGUAUGAAACGAGUUAGGUUAAUACCAAGCCUCAUUGACGGUACCCGCAGAAGAAGCACCGGCUAACUCCGUG
rnacentral:rRNA from 1 species